UUCCAUGUUCCAUUAAACUUGAUCCAGUCUUUGUCCCAUGAUCUGACACCUAUAACUUCGCAUACAUUGGCAUCAUUUCACCUCCUCCUUUAUCGAAGUACACCUACGCAGCGGACAUAAGCUGUCAUAAGAGUUACCUGCAAUCAACACAAAUAACGUCAUAUAUUUCUUAACUAAGUCAAGUUCGUUCCGGAGAUAAUAUAAUAGACGGAAGUCUUAUUUUAUCACGGUUAUAAUCGUGCUGAAAAAAUAUUUUUGCAUUCUACAUAACGGCCUCUUAUGCUUUAGACCUACGCGAAAUAAACUGUUCUGCCAUCUUACAGCGCUCGAUCGCUAGCACGAAUUUGGAGUGGGAAGAACGGCACCGUGCUUUGCUAUUACAUAUCAUUUCUCGAUCGAAACGUCUGUUAACGACCUCAGAAGUUGUGUGUUUACAUAUGGCAUACACAUUUAUUGUAAUAUCGCCAAGUGUUAUUAGUCUUUGGAAGUUUCUCGAAAUAAUAAGAAAUCACAAGUGCGCAUGUAUAUCUUUCAUGUUACAAUGAUAGUGGAUAAAACAUUAAUUUAUUGCAGCUAAUUAUUGUAACGAAACAUACACUUGCUUAGAAUUUGUAGUAUAUCUCAUUAUACAGAAUAUCUAAGAUAAAAGUAGUAUCAUGUUUCUUAAACUAUUGUUAAGCAGCAGUUUAACUAUCAUCGUCGCUGCGGCUUUUUUAACCGACGAGAUAAUUAAAAUAUCUCAGGAAGAGUUAAACAGGCAUUCAAAUUAUAUAUUACCGCAUAUUUAUGAUAUCAUCGUUACACAUAUCGAAGAAAAUAUUCUUGUCUGUAACUGCAUUAUACGUAUAGAGAUUAAACAUCCAACAUCAAGCAUAUUAUUGUAUU